CAAGAAAAAUCAAGUUGUAACCAAGGAAAUUUGUUAGUAUGAAGCACUACUUUCAACUUCAUUUCAUCACAAAUUGCAACUUACUUAACAGACCAAAAGAACUAUGGUACUGCAGUACAUCAAAUACUUCACACACUGUGUUCUUUACUAUAGCACAUGUAACCUCUGCCAGGGAGACAGCAGUCUCUAGCCGAUAAAGACACUCUUCACAAUCUGAAUUCUAAAGGAAUGUUUGUAUACAUGGAAUUGGAAUAUAUAUAUUUACAGGAAGAUUCUUUUUUAGUAACUAUUUUGAUUCUUCAUUUCAAAUAAAAUACCAAAUACAUUUUUACAAUGUUUACAAGUCAAAGCACAAGUUCUGCAAUGAUUAUCAUUCACCUCAAGUCACUGUGCUUGUACUGGGGGAUAUCUACACUGCUCCAUAAACACAAAUGUGAUCUUCUGUAACUUUAUUUCUGCAACGGUGACAAAGGAGUAUAAGCACAGUAACAGUUAUUUUAGCACAAUCAGUGUAUAAUGCAACAGUUUGCAACAGAGAACUGAGAAACUAUUGGUCCAUUCUGUUCAAUUUGCUGUAUUUCUGCCAACUGUUACGUUUGUUGUCACAUAAAUUGUGUACAAGAGAAGAGUUAAAUAACACAACUUGAAUAGGAAAGAGCACACAUUUUUAAGGCAAAUUAACAAGCAGCUUAUGGUGUUUUUUGUCAAACUAUACCCCAACAGAACCUAAAAAUAAAAUGUGUGUUCUACAGCUGUCAAUAAUUAGGUUUUCUUGUUCUCCUCUAUAAAUUGAUCAACAUGGCUUUAAACCUGGUUAUUCAAAAUGGAAAGAACUCCUCCCCCCAAUCCCCAAAUAUAGAAAGUGCAUGACUUUUUAUGCGCCAAAACAAAACAAAAGGCAGCUGAGGUAGUUAGAUGUAAAAUGUAUUUACGAAAAAUAACUGAAAAACUAAAUCCAAGACAUUACACAGUAAAAAACCACCCAUUUGGAAUUGAUUCUAUAUCAUGCAAUAACUUAACGCUAAGCAGGAGACUCCGUGAUUCCUGAACAAAAGAAGAAAGUGAUUUUAGUAAUAAUAACAAAGGAAUGAACACAGAAUACACUAUUGGAAUUUGAAUUUCAAGUAUUUGAAUCCAUCUGCAUGUGCACUUUUUUUUUUUUAACAGGCUUUUUGUAGCAUUAGGAAGUAACUUACUCUUCAUCAGGCGUUGAGAACUGGUCUAACUCUGGUACUGUAGCUCCUGAAAGGCAGAAAUACAUCACAACGGCCUGAAGACGCACCACUGCCUGUUCAUGCCACCUCAGCUUGAGUGGACAUCUGUGCACCCGUCCUCUGCUGAGGCCACCUGAGAAGUCACAGGCCCAUGGGUUCCAUGCCUGUGUCUCAUGGGGACCUGAUGUGCUGGGGGCAUGCCUGGGGUGUUCUCAUGUCUGGAUCUUUGCACCACAGAGCCCCUAUCUCUUCUUGGACCUCGCAGCACAGAGCCCUAUCUCCUGGACCUCCCCUUCCUCAACCAGCGCUGCUGCAGAUCAGGCAACAUGGCAGCCUUUCCUCAUUUGGCAAGAGGGACUGUGUCCCAUGCCUACAGACAGGAGACUCCCCAAUGGAGCUUUGGCCUCAAUCUGCUCAGGAUAAAGAAGGGUUUGGGCCUGGAGUUCUGGCCUUAGCACAGGGGCAGGCCCGGCAUUCCCCCUGCAUCCUGCCUGGAAUCCCUACCUAAAUGCAAAAUCUGUGCGUGCAAGCACAAGAAGAGACUUCAGGGUCUGGAAAGGAGUUUUAUGAAUAAGAGUACUUCUAGAAGAUGGCAAAGUUGGAGGUUCUGCGUCCAGUGCUUGCAGUGAGAAGAUAAUCCUGUUUGCUAAUGCCCUGGAUCAAGUCCAGAAGUCACACUGGGUUUGACAUGGACCUGCAACAUGACAAAUAAUGAAUGUUAAGUCAGCAUUUGUGUAAAGAUGCAGGUAAGUGAGCGUGGGAACAAGAGCAGAGCCAGCUUGCACUGGUGAGACAGCCUUAUACAUGGAAGGGCACUUGAAAUAAAAUGCAGUGAUGCUCACUUGCUAGAAUAACACAAAGAAUAGACAGCAAAAUAUCUGUCCCAUUGUGUAGAACAAAUUAUGCAGAAGAGAGUUUCUGCCUUUGAGAAUAAAUGGUAACUGAGUUAAAGGAACUGCAGUUCAUUUGAAGAAUUGAACUUGCGAGAGGAUUUGCCUGCUGAUCCAGAGGGUUCCAGGUAAGUGGCUCUUCUGCCAGCAUCUCUAAAACAAAGGAAAUGUGGAUGCCCCAUCCCUGGAGAUGUCCAAGACCAGGUUGCAUGGGGCCCUGGGCAGCGUGAGCUGUUGGGUGGCAGCCCUGCCCAUGCCAUACACGGAGGUUGGGACGAUCUUUAAGAUCCCUUCCAACCCAAGCUAUUCUGUGAAUCUAUGAUUCUAUGAUACUUCAGGUUAUUAUGGGCAUGGGUAUCUUCUCUCAGCAGUGGGGAUUGCAUUGACACUCUUCAGCACAGGAAGGAAAUGGAAGCAAGGAAAAAAAAUCAUAACAAUGUCUAAUACAUCCUGCAAACUUGUUUGAGUGAACAUUUGAAGAAAACACAACUGUUACGAUGUGCUACACUUACAGAUCAUGCAUGAAGGUUAUGGACACCUCCACAGUGAUUUCCUCUGCAAGCCAGGGUGCUACUGUUCUCACUUAUAAAGAAGCAAAAAUUGACAACUUAUAGUGUGGUUAAAAGUCCUUCAGCAGUGAUGUGCACGAGAAGCUGAGUGAUGAAUACCUGAGCAUGAAGAAAUACCAUGAGGGCUCAUCUGCUCCAUGUAUUCACAGCUGUUCUCUAAUUGUAAUAAGACUUUUCCCACAUCAUCUACUAUCUCUGUCUUUAUUUUCACCUGGUUUACCAGUGAUCAUCUCCCUGCCCCAUGUACAUGCUCAUGAUGUGUAGAUGAGCAAGAUGAUGUCAGAACUACCUGCACUAAGGAAAUGUGAACUUAUGAAUCCACUAUUUGCUUAUUCUCACAUGUACUGCAUGAGAAACCAAGUGAAAAAGUGCACAAAGCACUUGAAUGACACCGAGCCUCUCCUAUUCCAUAUAAAGAAACGCCCACUUUAUGAGUCUAAUUUAAGUGAUAUGUUUUUGUGCAAGCCAUCUGACAUUUAUCCUCUGUAAAGAAAAAUAUGCAUUAAAAAGCCAUUUUUUUUCCUA